UACAGAGUAGAUAUUUGUGCGUUAAGUGUUAAAAGAACGGGAAGUUGUCUUUUAAACGAAAAAUUCUUUGAAUUUGCGGUACAAAUAUUGCAUUCCGCUGUU
rfam:Clostridium saccharobutylicum DSM 13864, complete genome.